ensembl:miRNA MIR6803 microRNA 6803
CUCCUCUGGGGGUGGGGGGCUGGGCGUGGUGGACAGCGAUGCAUCCCUCGCCUUCUCACCCUCAG